rnacentral:rRNA from 1 species
AUGAACGCUGGCGGCGUGCUUAACACAUGCAAGUCGAACGGAAAGGCUCCUGCUUGCAGGGGUACUCGAGUGGCGAACGGGUGAGUAACACGUGGGUGAUCUGCCCUGCACUUCGGGAUAAGCCUGGGAAACUGGGUCUAAUACCGGAUAGGACGAUGGUUUGGAUGCCAUUGUUGAAAGUUUUUCGGUGUGGGAUGAGCUCGCGGCCUAUCAGCUUGUUGGUGGGGUAAUGGCCUACCAAGGCGUCGACGGGUAGCCGGCCUGAGAGGGUGUACGGCCACAUUGGGACUGAGAUACGGCCCAGACUCCUACGGGAGGCAGCAGUGGGGAAUAUUGCACAAUGGGGGCAAGCCUGAUGCAGCGACGCCGCGUGGGGGAUGAAGGCCUUCGGGUUGUAAACUGCUUUCGCUAGGGACGAAGCGCAAGUGACGGUACCUGGAGAAGAAGCACCGGCUAACUACGUG